rnacentral:rRNA from 1 species
UACGUAGGGGGCAAGCGUUGUUCGGAAUUACUGGGCGUAAAGGGCGUGUAGGCGGUGCGGUAUGUUGGACGUGAAAUCCCCGGGCUUAACUCGGGGCGGUCGUUCAAAACUGCCGUGCUAGAGUGUGGGAGAGGGAAGUGGAAUUCCCGGUGUAGCGGUGAAAUGCGUAGAUAUCGGGAAGAACACCUGUGGCGAAGGCGGCUUCCUGGCCCACAACUGACGCUGAGGCGCGAAAGCUAGGGGAGCAAAC